GAUGAACGCUGGCGGCGUGCCUAAUACAUGCAAGUCGAGCGAACAGACGAGGAGCUUGCUCCUUUGACGUUAGCGGCGGACGGGUGAGUAACACGUGGGUAACCUCCCUAUAAGACUGGGAUAACUUCGGGAAACCGGAGCUAAUACCGGAUAAUAUUUCGAACCGCAUGGUUCGAUAGUGAAAGAUGGCUCUGCUAUCACUUCUAGAUGGACCUGCGCCGUAUUAGUUAGUUGGUAAGGUACCGGCUUACCAAGGCAACGAUAAGUAGCCGACCUGACAGGGUGAUCGGCCACACUGGAACUGGGCCACGGACCAGACUCCUACGGGAGGCAGCAGUAGGGAAUCUUCGGCAAUGGGCGAAAGCCUGACGGAGCAACGCCGCGUGAGUGAUGAAGGUCUUCGGAUCGUAAAACCCUGUUAUUAGGGAAGAACAAACGUGUAAGUAACUGUGCACGUCUUGACGGUACCUAAUCAGAAAGCCACGGCUAACUACGUG
rnacentral:rRNA from 1 species